rnacentral:rRNA from 1 species
GGUCAAUGGCCUAACGGCUGAACCAGCAACUUGGGGGAAUGGAUAUAUAUAUUAGAUAUAAUAUAUAAUACCGACUCUGUCGGAUAAAGUUCUAGAUAGAAGAAUGAUAAUGACAAUUUUCUAUCUAUAUGUCUUGACCAAAUCUUGUGCCAGCAGUCGCGGCAACACAAGGGAGACUAGUGUUAUUCAUCUUUAUUAGGUUUAAAGGGUACCUAGACGGUAUAUCAAGCCCCAAAAGGGAACGGGUAUACUAGAGUUUUAUGUGAGAGGCAAAUAUAGUACUAUUGGUGUAGAGAUAAAAUUCAUUGAUACCUCUAGGCACGGGUAACGGCGAAGGCAAUCCUCUAUGUAAAAACUGACGUUGAGGGACGAAGGCUUGGGGAGCGAAUAGGAUUAGAUACCCUAGUAGUCCAGGCAGACAAUUAUGAAUGUCAUAGAUUAGAUUAUAAUAGUAAGAAAUAAGAAAGAGAGUAAGAUAAUUACUAAAAAAAAAGGUUAGAUGUCUUCACCUCCCUAUUUUUUUGAUCUAUAAAUGAAAGUGUAAGCAUUCCACCUCAAGAGUAAUGCGGCAACGCAGGAACUGAAAUCAUUAGACCGUUUCUGAAACCAGUAGUGAAGUAUGUUAUUUAAUUCGAUGAUCCUCGAAAAACCUUACCACAAUUUGAAUGUUAAUUAAUAAAUUAACACAGGCGUUGCAUGGCUGUCUUCAGUUAAUGUCGUGAGAUUUGGUUAGAUCCAAAAAAUUAUCGUAAACCCUUGUUCUUUAUUUGUUUGAAUAAUGCAGUUAACCGCUAUAUUGGAUUAUAUAA